rnacentral:rRNA from 1 species
AUACGGAGGGUGCAAGCGUUAAUUGGAAUUACUGGGCGUAAAGCGCGCGUAGGUGGAUAAUUAAGUCAGAUGUGAAAUCCCAGGGCUCAACCUUGGAACUGCAUUUGAUACUGGUUAUCUUGAGUACAGUAGAGGGAGGUGGAAUUUCAGGUGUAGCGGUGAAAUGCGUAGAUAUCUGAAGGAACAUCAGUGGCGAAGGCGGCCUCCUGGACUGAUACUGACACUGAGGUGCGAAAGCGUGGGGAGCAAACAGGAUUAGAAACCCCGGUAGUCC